GAGGUCCGCAGCCAGGGAGGACGACAGCAUCCGCCCUUUCAAGGUGGAAACGUCAGAUGAGGAGAUCCACGACUUACACCAGAGGAUCGAUAAGUUCCGUUUCACCCCACCUUUGGAGGACAGCUGCUUCCACUAUGGCUUCAACUCCAACUACCUGAAGAAAGUCAUCUCCUACUGGCGGAAUGAAUUUGACUGGAAGAAGCAGGUGGAGAUUCUCAACAGAUACCCUCACUUCAAGACUAAGAUUGAAGGUAUGUUUGCAAAACGCCAGCCAGAGAGGGAUGUAUGUCAUGAGAACAGCCUUCUUCCACAAUGUGACUUACAGUCAGAUAAAGUUGGAGAGAUUCAGAACCCAAUUAUAGGUCACUGAGAUGUACUUAUACGUUGUAACCUUACUAAAUGCAAAAAUAUUGCAGUCACAACAAAUCUGUCCAUCUUUAGAGGUAGGCAGGAAC
rnacentral:sRNA from 1 species